AAGAUUUCCGAAUGAGGAAACUCACUUAGAGUAAUGUCUAAGUAUCAUUAAGUGAAUACAUAGCUUAAUGAGGGGAACUCAGGGAACUGAAACAUCUAAGUACCUGAAGGAAGAGAAAGAAAUUCGAUUCCGUAAGUAGCGGCGAGCGAACGCGGAUUAGCCCAAACCAAUAAAGUUUUCUUUAUUGGGGUUGCGGACAUAUCAUAACGAAGAGGUAUCGUAAUUGAAGAGGUUUGGAAAGACCCACCACAGAAGGUAAUAGUCCUGUAUGUUAAACGAGAAGACUUUAGAUAUGAUCCAGAGUACCACGGGACACGUGAAACCCUGUGGGAAGCAGGAGGGACCACCCUCCAAGGCUAAAUACUACCUAGUGACCGAUAGCGUAUAGUACCGUGAGGGAAAGGUGAAAAGAACCCCGGGAGGGGAGUGAAAUAGAACCUGAAACCCUGCACUUACAAGCUGUGGAAGCACAUUUCUUGUGUGACCGCGUACUUUUUGUAGAACGGGCCAACGAGUUACGUUAAGUAGCAAGGUUAAGCACUUAAGGUGCGGAGCCGUAGCGAAAGCGAGUUUUAACUGAGCGUUCAGUUACUUGACGUAGACCCGAAACCGGGCGACCUACCCAUGAGCAGGAUGAAGCGAAAGUAAAAUUUCGUGGAGGUCCGAACCCACGAGCGUUGAAAAGCUCGGGGAUGACUUGUGGGUAGCGGUGAAAUUCCAAUCGAGCCCGGAGAUAGCUGGUUCUCCCCGAAAUAGCUUUAGGGCUAGCCUCAAGGUGAGAGAUACGGAGGUAGAGCACUGAAUGUCCUAGGGGGUAUUGCACCUACCGAAGACUAUCAAACUCCGAAUGCCGUCAUCUUAUACUUGGGAGUCAGACUGUGGGUGAUAAGAUUCAUAGUCGAAAGGGCAACAGCCCAGAUCGUCAGCUAAGGUCCCUAAAUGUAAGUUAAGUGGUAAAGGAUGUGGGAUUGCACAGACAACCAGGAUGUUGGCUUAGAAGCAGCCACUCAUUCAAAGAGUGCGUAAUAGCUCACUGGUCGAGUGAUCCUGCGCCGAAGAUUUCCGGGGCUAAAACUUACUACCGAAGCUACGGCAUCAGUAAUGAUGGGUAGGGGAGCUUCCCAUACGGGUUGAAGCAUGACCGUAAGGACAUGUGGACAGUAUGGGAGUGAGAAUGUUGGCAUGAGUAGCGAGAUGUGGGUGAGAAUCCCACAGGCCGUAAACCCAAGGUUUCCAGGGGAAGGUUCGUCCGCCCUGGGUUAGUCGGGACCUAAGCUGAGGCCGAAAGGCGUAGGUGAUGGACAACAGGUUGAUAUUCCUGUACUACCGAUAACCGUUUGAGAGAAGGGAUGACACAGUAGGAUAAGCUAAGCACACUGUUGGUUAUGUGUGCCCAAGCAUUGAGGCAGUCAAAGUAGGCAAAUCCGCUUUGAUAAUGCUGGGAUGUGAUGGGGAGCGAAAUUUAGUAGCGAAGUAGCUGAUUUCACACUGUCAAGAAAAGUCUCUAUCGAGGUUAAAGGUACCCGUACCGCAAACCGACACAGGUGGGUGAGGAGAGUAUCCUAAGGCCAGCGAGAGAACUGUUGUUAAGGAACUCGGCAA
rnacentral:rRNA from 1 species